rnacentral:rRNA from 1 species
AUUGAACGCUGGCGGCAGGCCUAACACAUGCAAGUCGAGCGGAUGAAGGGAGCUUGCUCCUGGAUUCAGCGGCGGACGGGUGAGUAAUGCCUAGGAAUCUGCCUGGUAGUGGGGGAUAACGUCCGGAAACGGGCGCUAAUACCGCAUACGUCCUGAAGGAGAAAGUGGGGGAUCUUCGGACCUCACGCUAUCAGAUGAGCCUAGGUCGGAUUAGCUAGUUGGUGGGGUAAAGGCCUACCAAGGCGACGAUCCGUAACUGGUCUGAGAGGAUGAUCAGUCACACUGGAACUGAGACACGGUCCAGACUCCUACGGGAGGCAGCAGUGGGGAAUAUUGGACAAUGGGCGAAAGCCUGAUCCAGCCAUGCCGCGUGUGUGAAGAAGGUCUUCGGAUUGUAAAGCACUUUAAGUUAGGAGGAAGGGCAGUAAGUUAAUACCUUGCUGUUUUGACGUUACCAACAGAAUAAGCACCGGCUAACUUCGUG